rnacentral:piRNA from 1 species
GUAAAGCUGUAAAAUUUCAACCAGUUUCA